UCAUGGAUGGAUAAGUUCUUACAGAAGGGAACUGAGAUUACUGCACCUGUCCCAAUGACUCCAGCUGCUGGAACUACUGGACUUGGGGGUUUUGAAGUUCCUUUGUCAAAAGGAAGUUCUCUGCGGUCUGAUGCAAGUGCUCUGAAUGUUGGUGUCCUCCAUCUAGUACCAACUUUGGAAGUGUUUCCGUUACUAGCAGACAAAAAAACGUAAGCGUGAUUGCUGAAUAUUGUGGCUGUUAAUAGAUUAAUAGUUUUUCAUUUAUUGGGAUGCCUUUGCUUUAAAUAUGUUUUGGUUUUUUGAAUUGCCAAAGAAUGUGGCAAUAGAAAGCUAUGUGUCUGUGUGCAUAUCUGUAUGCGUUAAAUAAAUCUUGUGUAAUUUCUAGUGUUAAUCAUCCAUGUAAGCUCCAAUGGUCUGAUUUGAUCCUCUCACUCAUAGUAAACCACAAGGCACUUUUCUCACCUGGCAUGCUUUCUUUAUAUUUAUUGAGUGUGGUUUACUUGCUUACUAGUCACUACACUAUUUUUUACUUAUUUCAAAGUUCAGUUUUAUAAUACCAAUUUUAUUGACUGAUAUCAGGCCUGUUUAGUUUUUAACAAAUAUAAAACUGUUUCUCUACAGGUAUGAACCCAAUACAAUUGAUCUCUCAGAUCCCAGUGAACUAGAGUAAGAAAAUUAUUGUUAACUAAUGCUCAAUUAGGGCUUCUUAGUUUUUUUUUAUUUCUCAUGUAGCUAACAAUUUUUUUGCAUCUGAUGUAGAUAUUGGCUCAAAAUUUUGUCAGACAACUUGCCAGAUCUUAUGGACAAGGUUAUCUUGAAACCCCUAGCUUCCAUGCUUAAGUUUUGCGUCGUCUGUGAACUUCAGAUCUAUUGAAUGAUUGGGAUUUCAUGGAUGUUAAAUUUUAUUAUUUAUACUUCGUUUUCUGGGCAAGCAGUUGGAGCCAAUAGUGCAAUUGCUCUUAUAAAAUAUUAUAGUUAUGCAUUUAGCUUAUAUGGGCUGGGUUGAACCCUUGGCUUAUUUGGUUAUUGUUAGACUGUACUAUAUUCAAUUUUAUUAGAAGUAAUAUAUGCCACAAGACAUAAAACUUUGUCAGAUCUAUACGAUAAUAUAUGCCUAGACGAGUUGAUAGGCAGUAUAUGAUUGUGAUUCCCGUGUAAUUAUGAUAGGCUAUCGCAAGUGAAGGUGGAACUGAUGAUGCAAAAAAAAAGGGUGACGCCUUUGCUCGUGCAUUUUCUGCCCACUUGGCAAGGUAACAUAAGAUUCCUAUUUUGCAGGCUUGCUAUCAUUAUUGAAGCAUCAUUAUCUAUCCACUUAUCCUAAUACAAACUUAGUUGCUAAAGAAUUUUUUAUUAUUUGAUCUUUGUUGGCUUACUAUCUUUAAUCAAUUGAAUUAGCUAUGAGAACACAAGAUGGGCCUGUUGCUAUAGGAUUGCACCAAUUUUCAACAUUGAGGCCCUACCUAUUUACAUUGGUCUUGGAUAGGUUUAUUGAGCAUAUCCAAGAACCGGUGCCACAAUGCGUGCUUUUUGUGGAUGAUAUUAUCCUAGUUAGAGAAUCAAGAGGAACUAGUUAGAGAAUCAAGAGGAAUUAAAUAGGAAAAUAGAAAUGUGGAGACAUCCUUUAUAACUUAGACUUGUAUAAGUCGGAGUGAGAUGGAGUAUUUGGAGUGUAAGUUUAGCAAGAGGUGGACAAACCCUACUGUAAAGGUAAAGAUUGGAGAUCAUGCCAUACCGCAAUUCACUAUAUUUUAGUAUCUUGGGUUAAUCAAACAACACGAAGGAAAAAUUGAGGGAGAUGAAAACCAUAGGAUUCAAGCCGGGUGGAUGAAAUGGUGGAAUGCACCUAAUUUCAUGUGAUAGAAAGGUGUCAUUUAAGCUUAAGCGAAAAUUUUACUGCAAAACUAUAAGACCCGUAAUAUGCGACUGAAUGUUGCAUAGUAAAAUAUCAACAAGAGAAUAAACUCAAUGUAGCAGAGAUGAGAAUGUUGUAUUGGAUGAGUGGACAAACUAGAAAAGAUUAGGAACAAAUGCAUUAGGGAGAAAGUUGGGAUAACUCCUAUUAUAGAAAAGAUGGUAGAUGCAGAGUAAAUGGAGGUUGGUUUAGUUUCUAGAAGCAGAGGGAGACCAAAAAAAACCAUAGGCAAAACAAUUAGGAAAACUUUAGAGAUCAUUGCUUUGUUAAUGGACAAGAUUGGUGUUAGAGCAUUAUGACGUUGUUUGAUCCGUGUAGCUGACCUCAUCUAGUAGGAUUAAGGCUUGGUUGUUAUUGAUUUAUAGUGGGUGAAACUCCUCUGCCACUUAUUUCAUGGUUUUAGAGAAAGUAAUCCAUAGAAAUGAAAAAUAAAUUUGAGAAGCAUCUUCAGUUGCUGAGCAUGACUCUGCUUUUGGAACAAAAGUGUCUUGCUUGUGUCUGGUGUAUAUACACGAUCACAUCAAAAUUGCUAAACUCAUAACUUUGACUACUUUGAUCCCUCUAAGCUGUCACCCUUGCGUGUAAAGUGAAAGGCCUAUGUGUUGAGAUGAUAAGCUAGGGAAAUUGUACUUGAUGGAAAAAUAGGAACCAAGCAGGGGGGAGUUGAAUUGGUUUUUUGAGCACAACUCUGACAUUAGUACUUUUGGAAGUUUCAUUCAAGUUGCUAAGGUAGUCCCACAUCAGAUGGGAGUAUGACCGAAAAGUGCUUAUAAGGCUUGGGCUGUCCAUUUUGAUAGAACUUUUAGGGUAUUUUCUCUCCUUGCACAGAGCCACACCGUCCUUGUUGGUUUCUUCUUCUCUACCAUGCACUGCAUCUCUCAACAACACAGGCAUUCGUGGCAAGCAACAAUUUGGGUUCAAUUCGUCAACGUCCCGAAACACAAAAGUACUGCAAAUCGGUACGCGUGAACUAUUACGCAAAGGGGGUAACGGGGUGAAUUCAAUAACGAAAAUUAGUAAUCUGUAGAUGUUUUUGCUCAACUUCAUAGUUAUAGAGAAUCUACUUAAUAAGAAUAAGAUUUUUAUGGGGCAUCAAUUCCAUCACCAUCAAGAAGGUCCUACCUUGCUGUGUCAAAUUUUUAUAUAAAUGUUGCAAUAAUAAAAUUUCUAAAAUAGUAACUCCACUAAUGAAAUUCUAUGGAGUAAUUUUUCAUGUCAUCGCCUGUAAUCAUACUGAAGUUAAUUGCAAUAAUUGACAACCAAAAUAGAGAGCUACUAUAUGAAGCAUGAAAUGAUAAAACGAAAAAGAAGUAAAGGUUGUCAAAUGGGAAGUUUGUAAUGUUUGCUAUUGAACUUGUAAAAAAGCUUCUCAAUACAAGUGUAUGCUAAUAUUGAAUAAGUCCCUGCAAAUUCUACUGGUUGCUGUUUAUGCUGUCGGUGCACUACCUUGGUUUGCAUUUCUUUUCUUUGAUUACUUGUUUCACUUUCCUGUGUUAAUACUGUUAUUGUAAUGUUAUGAGUUAGAGUCUUGUUUUGUUGUACUUCUUACUUGCACCUGUUUAUUGUGCUAUGGUUUUUUUUAAAAUGAAAUAAGCUAUCAAAAUUAUAGAGAUUGAAAAGCUUUUAAUUGGAGCUCAUAGAAGGAGAGGGAGCAGUGGUUACGUUUUACCUUACAAAAAAUAUGGUUAACUCAUCAAGUGAUUAAGGUCUGCUAAAGCUUAGUCAUAAUUUCGAAUUCUUGAUCACUCAUUUUUUCAUUUAUUGUCAAUUCUUCUAGAUGGUUCCCAACUUUAAUAUGCCAUCUGCUUUUAUUUGUUAAGUUCUUUUUCUUACCCUCAGAUGCAGCUCAAUCUGUUUGAAAGUUACACUUUUUAUGUAUUUGAUAGUUCCUUUACCAAUGCUUACAACAGGAAGAAAUGAGUUAUGCGUCCUGGGUAGGUGGAGGGAAUUGCACUUAGUGAUGAGAAUAAAACAGAUCUGUAAUCAGUUUUUUUCAUAGGCAAAGUUUUUGGCAGGGGUGGGGAAAUUGUGCAAGGGCCAGGGUUUGAACCCAGGUGCUCACACUUAUGUCCCGGAGUUCUACUUACCGAGCUACAUCUUUGGGACACAGGUGGAAUCAGUUAGAGGAGACAUAGUGGGGGUUUAACAAAAGGGACAGAUGGAAGAAGGUAAAUGGGGAUCAUGGUUGUGGUGUGAUGGGAGAGAGGUAAAAGAUAUAAAUACAUUCAAGGUGAAUUGGGUUGAACGGAUAAACUCUUGACUUUUUCUCUACUUCUUGCUUUCAGUUGUACAGAGUACUUGCACUGUUGUAAGGAGCAAGACUCCAUUCUUCGGUUAAUAAGAUUAAGUUUCAAUCAAGAUUCUAGCAACAUUUCAUUUACACUCUGAUUUUCAAUGCAGAUUUCAUGGAUGGAUAAGUUCUUACAGAAGGGAACUGAGAUUACUGCACCUGUCCCAAUGACUCCAGCUGCUGGAACUACUGGACUUGGGGGUUUUGAAGUUCCUUUGUCAAAAGGAAGUUCUCUGCGGUCUGAUGCAAGUGCUCUGAAUGUUGGUGUCCUCCAUCUAGUACCAACUUUGGAAGUGUUUCCGUUACUAGCAGACAAAAAAA
rnacentral:lncRNA from 1 species